AAAAAUCUAAUAAAAUCCUCCGUAGGAGAAUGUGGGCAGACCCUCGGAGUGCCAUCGUGCCUCCGUCAUCGGGUUCCCACGCGCCUACGCGCCACCUUUGAUGCCGUUGCGUAUGGCGAUUAGAGUUUUCAAAGCCGUAUGUUUCACAACAAAUCAAAAAGGUAACUCAUUUUUACUGUUUUUUAAAAUGUAUUUUUGCUAUAUGCUGUAUCAAAAGAUAAUAAAUAUCGAAAAGAAAGAAAAAAUUUGAAAUAUCACCUCUAUUCUUCAGUUUACUCCUUGAUUUCUCUUUUUAUAUAUUUUGUAUUUAUAAAAAAAAAACCGUAGUCUUUACAGGUUAGAAAAAGGGCUUUUAUAGCCUUUUCUGCAAAUAUUUACAUUUUGGGGAAAGAAAUGAUUUCUUUCCAUAUUCGUUUCGCUUUUGCUGUGUUUCUUUCUAUAUUUGUUCCUUGUCUGUCGCGAUUUCUUUCCCUUGUUUGCAGGUAAACCCCGAGGGAAUCACGGUGGUGAGUGCUCUAGCCUCUGAUCAGUGCGCCGAUCACGGAUCCUGGCAUCACGACGUUGAUGGGGCUGCUGGAACGGCAUGAGUUGAAGGGUCGAGACGCUUGGGAUGGUUUCUGGAAUCUUCUGUUUGCGGCGUGAAGAGAAAAAGGGCAAAAACCCUAGGGUUUCCUGCCUUGGUGUGAUAGUUUGGGCCAGUUGGGCCACUUUAGUCCUAGGUCUGUUUAGUUCUGUUAUAAUGGGUCUAGUUUAAGUCUGGGUUUGCUGGGUAGUUUUAGGCCUGCUGGGUUGUAAUCGGGCAUAAGGUUUAGGCCAAUUGAUUUUGGGCCUACGGGUUAGUGGGUUUUAACAUUUGUAAAAGGACUGUUAAAAACUUUUAUUAUUAUUAUUUUUUGAUAUUUUGGACUAUGCCUUGGCUUCCAAUAGGCCGGGCAAAAUUGAGGUAUUACAGUCUCCUAACUUGGCUUUAUAUAGUAGAGAGG
rnacentral:lncRNA from 1 species